GCGCAGCAGGCGAGAAUUUUUCUCAAUGGGCGAAAGCCUGAAGGAGCGACGCCGCGUGGAGGAUGAAGGCCUUCGGGUUGUAAACUCCUGUCAUUUGAGAACAAGUGUCAGCAAGUAACUACUGCCGACUUGAUAGUAUCAGAAGAGGAAGGGACGGCUAACUCUGUGCCAGCAGCCGCGGUAAUACAGAGGUCCCAAGCGUUGUUCGGAUUCAUUGGGCGUAAAGGGUGCGUAGGUGGCGCCAUAAGUCAGGUGUGAAAUUUCGGAGCUUAACUCCGAAACUGCAUUUGAUACUGUGGUGCUUGAGGACUGGAGAGGAGACUGGAAUUUACGGUGUAGCAGUGAAAUGCGUAGAGAUCGUAAGGAGACCAGUGGCGAAGGCGGGUCUCUGGACAGUUCCUGACACUGAGGCACGAAGGCCAGGGGAGCGAAACGGGAUUAGAUACCCCUGUAGU
rnacentral:rRNA from 1 species